GCAGAAUCUACAUUAUCCUCAUCAUCAGCAAUACUUUGGACAGCAGCUGUUGCAGAAACUGAUGCAGAUCUGCAGUAAUAAUCUUACUUAAGAUGAUUCACUAGCAACGAGUAAACUUUUUGAUGCAACAUAUAUCAGAAGGCUUAUGAUUCACCUCACUCAUCAACUCUAAGGUAGAGAAAAUGGAAGUGACAAGGAGAAAAGCAAAAUACAUAGAAAAGAAUAACUCCAUAUUACAUGUAGAUCAGUACUUAUAUCAUCAAAAUUCAGGGCCAACAGUGACCUUUCAGAACGACGGAACCCCAGAGCUGCAUCAAGAGUUGACUGCUUCAAGUUACUGGUACCUCUGCCCCUACCUCUUCCUCUUGCAGAAGUCCUACUUUUUCCAAGUUCAUAAGCACCACGAGAUGACCUAGAUGACCCUCUCCGACCUCUUGCACAAGUUCUUGAGCCAGAUAUUUGUGUUGUGUCUUCAUCAUCACUAAAGGAAACCGCAUUUCCUGUUCCAGCAGCAGUUCUACUUGUUGGAUCCUGCAUGAAAUUGAAAACACAAGCUCAGAAAGCAGAUAAUUAGACACAUAUGCAACCAAAAAAACACAGGCCUAAAAGGUUCCUGGCACAUGGAUAAGUAAUGCAAGGUCAACAAUGAAUUAUUACCUCUGAAGACUUGGCAGGAGACAUAAAUUGUGAAGUAUCUUUAGGGCGAGUAGACCUUUCCUUGACACGUUCCUGAAAAAUAAUAAUAGCAAUAAUAAUAAAUAAAUAAACAUUUAUAAACAAUCACGACAUGAAAUUUUGCAUGCAUGGUAAGGAAUAUAGGAAGUGAGCCCUCCUUAAAAGCCAAUGUGAUGCGUCAACAACACUUAGGUGAAAGAAGUAAACACUGUUUUACAAUACAUAUAAAUGAAGACAUAUUUGUUCCAAUCCAUGUAUACCAACUAUAACCAUGGCAAUAGUUGUGUAAACGCCAAAAGGACCCAAGGGCCCGAAGGUGGCUGGUAAGCCUUCUGCAGUAGUCACUCCGUUAGGCCACAGACAAAUUUGCUCUCCUCGCAUUGAUAAAGCAGUCUUGCUUAGGUGGCACUUUGACUAAAGUUAUAAAACUUGACUAUUACUUCUUUUCUGGUGAGUAAGAUUAAAAUUUUAUUGAAUCAAGUAAAUAGGCAUAGCCCAAGUAUACAGGAAGUAUACAAAAGUGAACACCUAAUCACAAUUGAGGAACUAGAAGAACAUACAAGAAAAUCAUUUUGACCAUUACUGUAAUGAUAAAGACAAAUACGAUGAACUUAAGCUUCUUACCUCCAUGCACUCUCCUACUUUAAGAAUUAAGUCUUCCUCUUCAAACUUCAGAGUAUCUGCAUCCUUGGCAAUUUUGUGCUAUAGAAGAAUUAUAAGAAAGAAACCAAUCAAAAUGAAAAUAGAACAGAAAUGAGAAGAAAACAAAUUAAUCAUUUUUAUAUGAUACAAUAACUCAAAACUACGUUUAAAAUUCUUAUAUGCAAUUAUGAUAGCAACACAAGACCUCUGUACAUACAUCCAGUAUAUCUAAAGUCAACUCCGUCUCUAUUUUCGAUGUAAGAUGCAGGUGUAAGAAUAAUAGAGGCUACUUACUCGUGUUUCUUCAAGAUUGUAUUGCAGACAAGAAUAGAAAGCCAUUUUGUCAUCCUUGUUAACAAAAUUGUGUAAUGCAACAUCCAAAUCAUUGACGGGAAGGAUUUCCAUUUUCUGCACAAUCAUAAACUAUACAGGUUUA